GUUUGCAGAAGAAAUCUAAGGUGCUAUGAGAGCAUGUGAGCGCAUCCUGGGCGGCAGGUGUGGAGUAAGCCAAUCUAGACCCUGGAGAUGUCCCCUGAAAGACUGCCAGAGUCCACAGUCAAAGGAGGCGAAAAUGCAGCAUUUCCAGGAAGUUGUCAUCUUGAAGUUUCUGGAGCCACCUCUCAUUUGUUCUGUAGUGUGAGAGCCAAUGCUGACUUUUCUUCUGGGUCUCAGCAAUCCUAUGCUCAAGCGGUUCAACUUACACAGGUGUUGGGCUCUGGCGAAAGAAAUUUGACAUCCACUUACUGAGAAGGCUGACUGCAUGCAGAGCCUCACAUACUGGGAGACGGCAGAAGAGCUCUGAUUCCAUUUACCAAGUACUUAUUGAGCAUCCACUAUGUCCACAGAUAAAACUAUUAGCAGAAGGUGUAGCAGGAAGGGCUCUGGCAGGGAUGGAGGCAGGGGGUGGGCCCCAAGCUGGGCCUCCUAGCCUGGCUGUCAGUCCCAUGAUGGAGACAGGCCAGCUGAUCUUAAGGGCCCCUGCAGCCCUGACAUUCUGGGACUCUAAUUAUAGAAGACAAAGCUUCAUUCCAGAUAGCUGGGGAAAUCCUUGGGUUCAAUUUCACCUCCUGGGGCUUGUAGUUCAGCUGGCACUGAGGCAGUUGAAAAGGAAUGGAAUGGAAAUCCAGAGCCUGCCUCAGCCCGAUUGUCUCUCAGCUGACUGUUUGCUUCUAGAUGUCAGCAGCUCUUUUAGGAAUGCGGAACAGCAGCCUUUUCACAGGCAAGGGUCCAGGUUUGGUUCCUGAUCUUUUCCUUUGCAUUGUGAAGAGGGAAGGUCAUGUGGGCCAAGAGGAAAUCAAAGACCAGAUUCCUUCCAGACUUCCUUUCCAAAAAAGCUCAAAGGAAAGGUAGAGCUGUAGUCAUAUGGACAGGACCACUCUUCUCAUAAACAAGUCUCAGCUUUCAUGGAAGCCAGUCAAACGGGCAGCUGAUAGGGAAGCCCCCAUUCCAACAGGCCCCAGCUGGUUGGCCUGUCCUGGGUCUGACCAAGUGGGGCCCAUGGGAGGCCAGUGGCGUUGGGUGUCAUUUCUGACACACAAGCCAUACCUACACAAAGAAACCAGCUUAGAGAAAAGGGCUAUGAACAGUCAAACAAUUGGUUACCGGAAAAUCACCAAGACAACUCAUGAAAAAC
rnacentral:lncRNA from 10 species